GUGAUCCUACGGGGCGCAGCAGUGGGGAGUAUUGCACAAUGGGGGAAACCCUGAUGCAGCGACGCCGCGUGAGCGAAGAAGUAUUUCGGUAUGUAAAGCUCUAUCAGCAGGGAAGAAGAUGACGGUACCUGACUAAGAAGCCCCGGCUAACUACGUGCCAGCAGCCGCGGUAAUACGUAGGGGGCAAGCGUUAUCCGGAUUUACUGGGUGUAAAGGGAGCGUAGACGGCAGGGCAAGUCUGGAGUGAAAGCCCGGGGCCCAACCCCGGGACUGCUUUGGAAACUGCCAUGCUAGAGUGCUGGGUG
rnacentral:rRNA from 1 species